AGAGCCUGCCUUGGUCCCGAGAUGGGCCCCAGGCUCUUCUUUGUGGUCUUGAGCCUCCUGUGUGCAAAAUACAUGGAGGCAGCCGUCACCCAAAGCCCAAGAAACAAGGUGACUGCAACAGGAAAAAAUGUGACAUUCAACUGUCACCAGACUAAUAACCACAACUACAUGUACUGGUAUCGGCAGGACAUGGGGCAUGGGCUGAGGCUGAUCCAAUACUCACUUGGUAUUGACAACCUUGAGAAAGGAGAUGUCCCCAAUGGGUACACGGCCUCCAGACCAAGGCAAGAAGACUUUUUCCUCAAUCUGGAAUUGACUUCUCCCUCUCAGACAUCUGUGUACUUCUGUGCCAGCAGUGAUGCACAGCAGUUUGUGGCUUCCUCCCCUCUGCACAGAAAGUCAAUUUGUAAAACAAGUUGCCUGUAUGCCUCAGGAAGUCCCUGCCUCUAUUAA